AUCUUAACCUGCGUGCUUGUCUGCUGCUUUACACGGGAAACACUGAGGGUGACUGAGCCGCCCUUUGUGAAGACUGUCAGCUGAGCUGAGGGUGUCAGGGGUGAAAGUCACAUGUAACCGGGUAUGUCCUUCACCGGAAACACGUAGUGAAAAACACGGCAGCGGACUUUACACACAGCCUGCAAAAGGGAGCUUGUCCCAAGGCGUCCUCUGGCCACAAGGAACAGGCUUAGCCCCAAUGCUAAAUCAAAGAGCAUUGUCCUGAGUCCCCAUGCAAGCUUCCAACCGGGUGCUGCAGAAUCUCGCUGUGAUUAUUCAGUCCACCUGGACACUAGCUGUUACGACAGAGACCACAAAAGAGCACACGCUCUAUCUCAGAUAAGCAUUAGCUUUCUGCGGAAAUGGCAAAGAAAUGAUGCAAGAAAAUGGCUCAGAGUGAACAGGACAGAACAUAAUGGGCUUCGCUCCACGACCUCUGAGGCUGGCUGGACAGGAAAUUGUGAGCAAAGAGCCUGCGCUGUUUCCCCAGGGAUAUCAAAUGUCCUGAAAUUAUGCCUGUACAACACGAGGCGCUUUCAUCAGUCUGUUCUCUGGUGUGGCUGCUUAUCCCUCAAGGAACUGGGGGAAAUUGGUUUGUGUUCAAAAUUUGCUGUUUUGGAAAGAAAAUUUUUAUUUUUUGAUAAAGGCAUUUUCAGUCGAUUUCCUUGCCUAGGUGAGCUGAGCUCUCUGAAAGCAGCCAGGCAUGGUGGCAGCAUGCUCAAGGAUCAGUGAACUCCAUGGCUGGGAUUACUCAGAGAAAAAUGAAAGCUUUUUUUCAUUUAGCCCCAUUCCUGUCUGAAUCCUGCUAACAUCUCAUCAGCUUCUAAC